ACGGGUGCGUAACGCGUGGGAAUCUGCCCUCUGGUACGGAAUAACUCAGGGAAACUUGAGCUAAUACCGUAUAAUGACUUCGGUCCAAAGAUUUAUCGCCUGAGGAUGAGCCCGCGUCGGAUUAGCUAGUUGGUGAGGUAAAAGCUCACCAAGGCGACGAUCCGUAGCUGGUCUGAGAGGAUGAUCAGCCACACUGGGACUGAGACACGGCCCAGACUCCUACGGGAGGCAGCAGUGGGGAAUAUUGGACAAUGGGCGAAAGCCUGAUCCAGCAAUGCCGCGUGAGUGAUGAAGGCCUUAGGGUUGUAAAGCUCUUUUACCCGGGAUGAUAAUGACAGUACCGGGAGAAUAAGCCCCGGCUAACUCCGUGCCAGCAGCCGCGGUAAUACGGAGGGGGCUAGCGUUGUUCGGAAUUACUGGGCGUAAAGCGCACGUAGGCGGCUUUGUAAGUUAGAGGUGAAAGCCCGGGGCUCAACUCCGGAAUUGCCUUUAAGACUGCAUCGCUAGAAUUGUGGAGAGGUAAGUGGAAUUCCGAGUGUAGAGGUGAAAUUCGUAGA
rnacentral:rRNA from 1 species